CUGGCAGCUACCAAUGAUAAGACGCAAGAAAGCGUUUGACGGGACUUGUCAAACUCAUUCGAAUCUCAGGUGGUGAUGAAAGAGCGUAACGGACACCUAAACGCUCGUGUACGGGACCGCGAGAACGAGCAGUGACAAAACCAUAUACUGGGUAUAGGAACCACAUGAUGGUGUCACUUUUAUUACCGUUCCAAAAGGAUGUGGAGGUUUUACAUGGCCUCCAAAGGCCAAAACACCCCUCCCCCUGCCACCCAGUGCCCCGCCCCCAACCCACCCUU